rnacentral:rRNA from 1 species
GACGAACGCUGGCGGCGUGCUUAACACAUGCAAGUCGAACGGAAAGGCCCUGCUUUUGUGGGGUGCUCGAGUGGCGAACGGGUGAGUAACACGUGAGUAACCUGCCCUUGACUUUGGGAUAACUUCAGGAAACUGGGGCUAAUACCGGAUAGGAGCUCCUGCUGCAUGGUGGGGGUUGGAAAGUUUCGGCGGUUGGGGAUGGACUCGCGGCUUAUCAGCUUGUUGGUGGGGUAGUGGCUUACCAAGGCUUUGACGGGUAGCCGGCCUGAGAGGGUGACCGGCCCCAUUGGGACUGCGAUACGGCCCAGACUCGUACGGGAGGCAACAGUGGGGAAUAUUGCACAAUGGCCGGGAGCCUGAUACAGCAACGCCGCGUGCGGGAUGACGGCCUUCGGGGUGUAAACCGCUUUGGCCUGUGACGAGGAGUGAGUGACGGUAAUGGGUAAAGAAGCACCGGCUAACUACGUG